rnacentral:rRNA from 1 species
CUACGGGGGGCUGCAGUUAAGUAUCUUUUACAAUGCGCGCAAGCGUGAUAAAGCGAACCAGAGUGCUUUUCCAUUUUGGAAUGGCUUUUGCCAAAUGUAAAAAGUUUGGCGAAUAAGGACUGGGAAAGACCGGUGCCAGCCGCCGCGGUAAUACCGGCAGUUCAAGUCGCAGCCACAUUUAUUGGGUCUAAAACAUCUGUAGCUUGCUUUGCAAGUCUCUUGUGAAAUUCUGUAUCUCAAAUACAGAGCGGGCAGGAGAUACUGCAUUGCUAGGGACCGGGAGGCGUAAGGAGAACAUAUAGGGUAUCGGUAAAAUGAGUUGAUCCUGUAUGGACUAACGACAGCGAAGGCACCUUACGAGCACGGAUCUGACAGUGAGAGAUGAAGGCUAGGGUCGCGAAAGGGAUUAGAUACCCUAGUAGUC